GUGGCGAACGGGUGAGUAAUACAUCGGAACGUGCCUAGUAGUGGGGGAUAACUACUCGAAAGAGUGGCUAAUACCGCAUGAGAUCUAUGGAUGAAAGCAGGGGACCUUCGGGCCUUGUGCUACUAGAGCGGCCGAUGGCAGAUUAGGUAGUUGGUGGGAUAAAAGCUUACCAAGCCUGCGAUCUGUAGCUGGUCUGAGAGGACGAUCAGCCACACUGGGACUGAGACACGGCCCAGACUCCUACGGGAGGCAGCAGUGGGGAAUUUUGGACAAUGGGCGCAAGCCUGAUCCAGCAAUGCCGCGUGCAGGAUGAAGGCCUUCGGGUUGUAAACUGCUUUUGUACGGAACGAAAAGCUCCUCUCUAAUACAGGGGAGUGAUGACGGUACCGUAAGAAUAAGCGCCGGCUAACUACGUGCCAGCAGCCGCGGUAAUACGUAGGGUGCGAGCGUUAAUCGGAAUUACUGGGCGUAAAGCGUGCGCAGGCGGUUUUGUAAGACAGUGGUGAAAUCCCCGG
rnacentral:rRNA from 1 species